rnacentral:miRNA from 1 species
GAAUCCUUGGUUGUUUCUCAUGUAUGUUGAGCUUGCUGAGCAGACCAAGGUUUUCCACCACCACCAGCAGCAGCAGCAGCAGCAGCAGCAGCAGCAGCAGCAGCAAUUCUCUG